rnacentral:rRNA from 1 species
GACGAACGCUGGCGGCGUGCUUAACACAUGCAAGUCGAACGGAAAGGCCCUGCUCUUGUGGGGUUCUCGAGUGGCGAACGGGUGAGUAACACGUGAGUAACCUGCCCUUGACUUUGGGAUAACUUCAGGAAACUGGGGCUAAUACCGGAUAGGAUCUCCUGCUGCAUGGUGGGGGUUGGAAAGUUUCGGCGGUUGGGGAUGGACUCGCGGCUUAUCAGCUUGUUGGGGGGGUAGUGGCUUACCAAGGCUUUGACGGGUAGCCGGCCUGAGAGGGUGACCGGCCACAUUGGGACUGCGGUACGGCCCAGAAUCCUACGGGCGGCAGCAGUGGGGAAUAUUGCACAAUGGGCGGAAGCCUGAUGCAGCAACGCCGCGUGCGGGAUAACGGCCUUCGGGUUGUAAACAGAUUUCGCCUGUGACGAAGCGUGAGUGACGGUAAUGAGUAAAGAAGCACCGGCUAACUACGUG